rnacentral:rRNA from 1 species
AUGGAGCCGACCUUGAAAUACCACCCUUUAAUGUUUGAUGUUCUAACGUUGACCCGUAAUCCGGGUUGCGGACAGUGUCUGGUGGGUAGUUUGACUGGGGCGGUCUCCUCCUAAAGAGUAACGGAGGAGCACGAAGGUUGGCUAAUCCUGGUCGGACAUCAGGAGGUUAGUGCAAUGGCAUAAGCCAGCUUGACUGCGAGCGUGACGGCGCGAGCAGGUGCGAAAGCAGGUCAUAGUGAUCCGGUGGUUCUGAAUGGAAGGGCCAUCGCUCAACGGAUAAAAGGUACUCCGGGGAUAACAGGCUGAUACCGCCCAAGAGUUCAUAUCGACGGCGGUGUUUGGCACCUCGAUGUCGGCUCAUCACAUCCUGGGGCUGAAGUAGGUCCCAAGGGUAUGGCUGUUCGCCAUUUAAAGUGGUACGCGAGCUGGGUUUAGAACGUCGUGAGACA